GGCUCGGAAGCCGACGCCACCAGCUCAUUUACAGGGGAGGAAGAGGACUGCCCGCGCAGCCCGCGCCUAGGCGCGACCGAUCCCCAGUAGCCUCAUGGGACGCUCCAGAGGACUCUCUCUGUGCCCUGCCACCGUGUUCCGAUCCUAGGCGUCCGGACUCCACGGUUCACCCUGACCGCAACCCGCGGCCUGUCCAGAGUGGAGUAUGCGGCCCGGAGCCCCGUGGACUCCGGCCACCGGGCGGCGCUGGCCUAGCUUCGGAGCCCAGAGCCCGAGGGCAGCAAGUGAGGAGCCGCGAGAGGCAGUAAGGCGUCGGGGCGCGGAGAGAAGCGCUCCAGCCCGGGUGUCCACUGGGCCGGGUGACCGGUGGGUGGCCUGAACGCCGGGCA
rnacentral:lncRNA from 1 species